GCUCAAUUAUCAGAGGUGUUAGUCAACUGUUAAAUCUGAGGAUUGAGCAGUCCAAAGGCCAGGGAUGGGCAGGCCCAUCUUCCCUUCCUGCUGCAAAGCCUCUGCUAAGGCUCAGGAGCUGCUCCUUCUCUGCCUGUGGGUACUAUGGCAGUACAUUCUGGCAACAGGCUGGAAAGAACCAAUGCAUUAACUCAGAGAAGGGGCAGCAGAAGGAAAGCCUGGAGCCACUGCCCACCCUGCAACUGGAACAGGGUUUGAGCAGCAGAGAUGCAAGAGAAAGAAAAAACACCUCUCUCAGAUGGCUGCAAAGAGAAGGUCUCUGCAGUCACUUCUCAAACACUGAAGAUAUUCUCAUUUAAAAAUAUCCACUUAAAGGCAGGUUUAAUCUCCAAAUGGCAUUUUCCACUUUAAAAAAAAAAAAAUCACAUACACACACGCACAAAAACCUUCAAAAAAACCCAUCUCCAGUUAUUUCUCCUUCAUUUUUUUCCCCCAAUUAAAUUAAUUUAAAAUGAGUGGAAAAUGCUUUAUGCCCUAAGAGCCUGAAACCUCUGGUGUCAGCUGAAACUGGCACUUCUGCUCUCAGCUCCAGCCCUCCCUGCAGGCACCUCUGCUUUGAAGCCUUUGAAGUGUUUGUGGCACAGGAAGAGUCUCUCCUCAGAGAACACCCCUCAUUUUAUAUAUAUUUAAUGUGCAAAGUGUGUGUGAGUGUGUUUGUGUUCCUACAACGUGGAUUUUCACCGGGCAGAUGGGAAAAUGGAGAAGAAAUCUUGACUUGCAGAACAAAAUUCAAGUAAAAAUCACUGUCUUGUUGAGAGAUCUUUGAGAUCUUCCAGCCUUCAUCCAUGAGGUUAUUUCAGCAUCCUCCUGAGGAAGCAGUUGAAAUGAUCUGCUGGCCUUCAGAGGGACCAAAACAGUUUUUUAGUGCCUGUAGGACCUGCUCUCACCUCUCCCAGCAUCAGGAUUCCCUUUUAAAGGAAUUUCCGUAGAAAAAUGCCAUCAAAGAACACCAUGGAAAUGCCACCAUGGAAACACCAGGAGCAAAGUAGCUGAGGGUGCCUGUUCUGGCUGGGAGCUGCAGGGCAGCUGGAAUAACCCCCCUGAGCUUAUUUUGGGCAUGUGAUGCAAGAGAAAUGCAAUAAAUUUGAUUAAUGGUUGGAUUUGGGGGUUAAU
rnacentral:lncRNA from 1 species